rnacentral:SRP_RNA from 1 species
GCCGGGCGUUGUGGCGGGCGCCUGUAGUCCCAGCUACUUGGGAGGCGGAGGCAGGAGACUCGCUUGAGCCCAGGAGUUGGAGGUUGCUGUGAGCUGUGAUGCCAUGGCACUCUACCCAGGGGAAUAGCUUGAGGCUCUGUCUAAAAAAAAAAAAAGAAACUGAGGUUACUGUGAGCUAUAAUGAUGCCACAGCACUCUGCCCAGGGUGACAGAGUGAGACUCUGUCUCAA